rnacentral:lncRNA from 1 species
GGUCCCCCGCCCCCAUCCCGUAGCCCAGACCCAGAGGGGGCGGGGCAGGGCGUUGUCACUCAACCCCAUUGGCCAACGGGAGGGGGACGAGCCCCUCCUCCUCCCCAGGGCCGCGGUGCGGGCAUGCGCAGUGGGCGUCCCAGUGCCACCGCCCGUCAGCUGAGAGCCGUGGCUGGGGGCCCGGUGCCGGUGGGUGCGGCUGGCCCGAGGAGGAGGAGGAGGGCGCGGAGGACCGGGUUUUUUAGGUGACUGCAUAGAAAACUGCCCAACCUGCCAACAUCUGAUGAAAUUAGUGAAUAAGCAAAUCAACUAUGUCUUACACUGUGGGAGUUGGUGGUGACCCUGCUCUACUGGCCCAGCGUAUCUCUUCUAACAUCCAGAAGAUCACACAAUGUUCAGUUCUUAAUGGAUUUGCCUGUGAAUUUAUUUGGAAGAACCUAACGUCAUACAAAAUAGUAUUCUGUAAGUCUUGGUACAUUUAUUUUUCCCAGUCUUUUUUCUUGUUGGAAUGUCAUUAUCUUUGACCAUUAUUUGAAGAAACCAUUGUUGUGGUAGCGUGUCACUGGUAUUGGGUAUGGCCAUCUGCUUCUCUGGAAUAGCUUGGUCAUUAUCCCAUUUAAAGUCCAAGAGAAUGCCCACAAACAUCAACAAGAUUCCCUCCUAGCCUGUGGACUAUGACUUUCUUAUUGAGGACUGUGAAAACGACUAGCUAAAAAACCAACCGAGGCCCUCUUAUUUGUGAAUACCCAGAGCACUGUCUUGCUGUUGGGGCUUGAGAGGAGAGCUGGGCAGGAUGGCCCAGAUACAUCCAGUGAUUUUAGUUGUGUAGUAUUGCCAGUACACCCUACUUUAUUCACAAAACUUUAGAAGGUGUAAAAUUAGUAUCUUUUAACAAUGGGCAUACCUUGGAAGUAUUGUGGAUUUGGUUUCAAACCAAUAAAUUAAGUUAAAUUUUUGGUUUCCCA